rnacentral:rRNA from 1 species
UACGGGGGGAGCAAGCGUUGUUCGGAUUUACUGGGCGUAAAGGGCGGGUAGGCGGCCACUGCAAGUCGGUUGUGAAAUCUCCGGGCUUAACUCGGAAAGGUCAAUCGAUACUGCAGGGCUAGAGUGCAGAAGGGGCAACUGGAAUUCUCGGUGUAGCGGUGAAAUGCGUAGAUAUCAGGAGGAAUACCGAUGGCGAAGGCAGGUCUCUGGGCUGACACUGACGCUCAUGCACGAAAGCGUGGGGAGCAAACAGG